UACGAAGGGGGCUAGCGUUGUUCGGAAUCACUGGGCGUAAAGCGUGCGUAGGCGGCUGCGCAAGUCGGGUGUGAAACCCCGGGGCUCAACCCCGGAACUGCAUCCGAUACGGGCAGACUAGAGGUAUGCAGGGGGAGAACGGAAUUCCUGGUGUAGCGGUGGAAUGCGCAGAUAUCAGGAGGAACACCGGUGGCGAAGGCGGUUCUCUGGGCAUUACCUGACGCUGAGGAGCGAAAGUGUGGGGAGCGAACAGG
rnacentral:rRNA from 1 species